GUGGAGGUUCAGUGGUAGAAUUCUCGCCUUCUAUGCGGGAGACCUGGGUCUGAUUCCCAGCCAAUGCA
rnacentral:tRNA from 1 species